GACGAACGCUGGCGGCGUGCCUAAUACAUGCAAGUCGAACGAGAGCGACCGGUGCUUGCACUGGUCAAUCUAGUGGCGAACGGGUGAGUAACACGUGGGUAACCUGCCCAUCAGAGGGGGAUAACAUCCGGAAACGGAUGCUAAAACCGCAUAGGUCUUCGAGCCGCAUGGCUUGAAGAGGAAAAGAGGCGCAAGCUUCUGCUGAUGGAUGGACCCGCGGUGCAUUAGCUAGUUGGUGAGGUAACGGCUCACCAAGGCCGUGAUGCAUAGCCGACCUGAGAGGGUGAUCGGCCACAUGGGGACUGGGACACGGCCCAAACUCCUACGGGAGGCAGCAGUAGGGAAUCUUCCGCAAUGGACGCAAGUCUGACGGAGCAACGCCGCGUGAGUGAAGAAGGUUUUCGGAUCGUAAAACUCUGUUGUUAGAGAAGAACAAGUGCUAGAGUAACUGUUAGCGCCUUGACGGUAUCUAACCAGAAAGCCACGGCUAACUACGUG
rnacentral:rRNA from 1 species